rnacentral:rRNA from 1 species
UACGGAGGGUGCGAGCGUUAUCCGGAAUCACUGGGUUUAAAGGGUGCGUAGGCGGUUUGAUAAGUCAGUGGUGAAAGGCCGUCGCUUAACGAUGGGACUGCCAUUGAUACUGUUAGACUUGAAUCAGGAUGAGGUUGGCGGAAUGUGGCAUGUAGCGGUGAAAUGCUUAGAUAUGCCAUGGAAUACCGAUUGCGAAGGCAGCUGACUGGACCUGAAUUGACGCUGAGGCACGAAAGCGUGGGGAGCGAACAGGAUUAGAAACCCUAGUAGUCC